rnacentral:lncRNA from 1 species
CUACUUCUAAUGGGGGCUUUCUUCAUACCGACCCACCUUCCCCUGCUCCAACUCUUCUUCCACCUUGGCUUUCUAAUUCCAGCACUGCCCCUGCUGUCAGGCCACCAUCCCCUUCAGUGACUCUAACCCUAUCUCCCUCGACAGUGACAGCUGCUCCACCAAUCCCAUGGCUGCAGCCUGAGAGGAUGUCAGAAAAUACCCCUGUUGUUUUGGGAAAUAUGGUGCCCUAUGGAUCAAUUCCUCCUUGUGGUGAGAACCCGCUGGUAUCUGAACUGGUGGAGUGCUGCAGGGAGCUGGAAGAAGGGCA